UUUACUUUGUGUUUUGCUUUCUGACAUUUAACUUUUUCCAUCACAGAACAAUCUGGAGGACAUUUACAGUCUUCUUAGGUUUUUGAAGGUGGAACCAUGGGGAACUUGGGCAUGGUGGAACAAACUCAUUCGAAAACCAUUUGAGGAGGGUGAUGAGAGAGGGUUAAUGUUGGUUCAGUCCAUUUUAAAGCGGAUCAUGUUAAGGAGAACAAAAUUUAGCACUGAUCGAGAAGGCAGGCCAAUUCUCGUUCUUCCUCCAGCUGAUAUUCAGGUUAUCUAUUGUGAACUCACAGAAAGUGAAAAAGACUUCUAUGAGGCCUUGUUUAAAAGAUCCAAGGUCAAAUUUGAUCAAUUUGUUGAGCAAUGACGGGUUCUUCAUAAUUAUGCUUCCAUAUUGGAGUUACUUUUACGUCUUCGCCAAUGUUGUGAUCAUCCAUUUCUUGUGAUGAGUCGAGGUGAUACACAAGAAUUUUCUGAUUUGAAUAAGCUAGCUAAACGUUUCCUCAAGGGCAGCCACAAAGCCCAAGAAGGGGAAGCUAAAGAUGAGCCAUCACGAGCUUAUAUUCAAGAGGUCGUGGAAGAGCUGCGUAAAGGGGAAAAAGGAGAGUGUCCGAUAUGUCUUGAAGCAUUCGAAGAUGCAGUAUUGACACCUUGUGCUCACCGCUUAUGCCGGGAAUGCUUAUUGGCAAGCUGGGGAAAUCCUACCUCUGGUUUAUGUCCUGUUUUGUAGGAAAAACAUCAGUAAGCAAGAUCUUAUUACUGCCCCAACUGAGAGUCGCUUCCAGAUUGAUGUUGAGAAAAAUUGGGUGGAGUCAUCCAAAGUUGUUGUUCUCUUGCAUGAACUUGAAAAUCUUCGCAUGUCAGGCUCUAAGAGCAUUGUCUUCAGCCAGUGGACUGCCUUUCUGGACCUCCUGCAGAUUCCUCUUUCCCGGAGUAACAUUCCCUCUGUUCGUCUGGAUGGAACACUAAGUCUGCAGCAGCGGGAAAAAGUAUUAAAGCAGUUUUCAGAAGAUAGCAACAUCCUGGUGUUGCUGAUGUCUUUGAAGGCCGGUGGAGUUGGAAUAAAUCUAACGGCAGCUUCCAAUGCCUUUGUCUUGGUAAUCGUAGAAGAUUAAACUUCCUGCUUUUUAAUUGUGAAAUGGUCUCUCUUGUAUGAAAUAGCAGAAAGUAGUGACAUUAGUAUAUCUCAUUUUAUGACCAGUAGCUUGUAGUUUUGGGUUGUGUCAGCAAUUUGUUACUGAAUUAUAUAAGAUCACCGGGGAUUCUGCACCUUCAUAAUGUACGACUUUGGUGCAAAUUUAGCCAGAUAAUUACU